rnacentral:rRNA from 1 species
GCCGAAGACCAAAUCAGUCCCGAAUGUGCCUAGUCUCAUCACAUCACGGAAGCAAAACAGAGUUGAGCCUAGAUAGUGCUUGUAUGGGUGACCAGAGUGCGCAAAACACAGAUGUUAUAGGCU